GCUGGUUCUCCCCGGGAAGCAUGGCCUCUUUCUCGUUCGGAGGAGAGGAUGAAGGUUCCGUCUCGUGUUCCGGGGCUUCGCUUAUGCUCAAUUUUACAUCGCCGUCCGCAACGCUGUCAUACUGAGCAGCUCACCACAUCGUUCCUGCCUCGGAUGCCGGUUAGCUUUCAAAGCCUGAGCGCGGAGCUGGAGCAUGUGAUGCCGGCGAUGGCGUGGUACGUUCCACCGUCAUCCUAUCUAGCGUACACGCCCAUAAAGGCUGGACGUCGGAAAUCGUAUUGGUCGCGCCGUGAUGACGUCAGGGGCAAAGUGAGACCUCCAAAAGUGGCGGUCUAAUUGUGUUGCAUCAUCCGAGAAAAAAUGUGGACCCAUGACCAUUCAUUUUUCAUAACUUUAUUCAUUCUAAUAUUAUAUAUCAUACCUUUUCUUCUUCGUCUUUACCUUUUUCUUUCCAAUUUUUUUAUAUUCCAAUUUUGUAUUUUUUUUAUACUCAUGUCAAAUUUACACUUACUUCCAGAGGGAAAAAAAAAACAUUUCAAUGC